rnacentral:misc_RNA from 1 species
UGGAUGAGGAUACCGAACC